rnacentral:rRNA from 1 species
AUUGAACGCUGGCGGAAUGCUUUACACAUGCAAGUCGAACGGCAGCACGGACUUCGGUCUGGUGGCGAGUGGCGAACGGGUGAGUAAUGUAUCGGAACGUGCCCAGUCGUGGGGGAUAACGUAGUGAAAAUUACGCUAAUACCGCAUACGAUCUAUGGAUGAAAGCGGGGGAUCGCAAGACCUCGCGCGGUUGGACCGGCCGAUAUCAGAUUAGGUAGUUGGUGGGGUAAAGGCCCACCAAGCCAACGGUCUGUAGCUGGUCUGAGAGGACGACCAGCCACACUGGAACUGAGGCACGGUCCAGACUCCUACGGGAGGCAGCAGUGGGGAAUUUUGGACAAUGGGCGAAAGCCUGAUCCAGCCAUUCCGCGUGCAGGAUGAAGGCCCUCGGGUUGUAAACUGCUUUUGUACAGAACGAAAAGGUUUCUACUAAUACUAGGAGCUCAUGACGGUACUGUAAGAAUAAGCACCGGCUAACUACGUGCCAGCCGCCGCGGUAA